ensembl:lncRNA
AUGGAACAUGAUAUUCUGGAAAGCAAGGGAACUAGGUCUACAAUUAAGAAUCAACUACCCAGCAAAACUGACUAUAUUCUUACAGGGGAAAGAAUGGUCAUUCAACAAAAUAGAAGAAUUCCAAAAAUUUGUAAAGAAAAGACCAGACCUGAACAGAAAAUUUUAUGCCCAAGCACAGAACUCAAGAGAAUCAUCAAAAGCCCCAGCAGGGCUUCUUUAUCUCAACCUGAGGACCUGGGAGUUCCACCCACAUGGCCUCCUCCAAGAAGGCUUGUAGGCCUUUCUGAAACUAAUCUCUCUCCAGACACCAGGAAAGGAAGGCCAGCUACUCACUCAACCAAGAGGCAGUCCAAGUCCAAGCUCCUCCAAGCUCCAGAUUCAGGUCAAAGUCUCCAGCGAAACUUCCUCAAAGACUACUUCCCAAAAAUGACUUCUGAAGACAACCUCCCGAAGACUAUCUCUAGAAAGCUGCUUGCAGAAGGCUCCUCCAGUCGAAGAAGUUCAGGGCUUUUAUAGUGACUUCUUGUCCCUUCCCCUCUUCACAGGGGCCAAUCACAGCUUCCAAAUUGCCUAGCACUGCCCGGGGAGGUGGGGGAAUGUCUGUGGGAUCCACCUCUCAUCCUCUGAAGGUGUAAACUAUUAUCAAAAGGAUUCACAAGUUCCUGACUGAUUGAGUUUCUAAGGGUGUGAACUCUUUAAGUGACUUGUGAAUUCUCUUACUUGAUAGCUAACAAAGUGUUAAGUAGGGGUGUUUUCAGUUUUUGAUUGAUUAAAAAAAAGUUGCUGAUUGAUAAACAAAGAAAGUUUGAUUCACACUUCACAAAAUUAAAGGGAUAUCCCUCAAUUGGGGAAUGACUGAACAAUUUGUGGUAUAUGAUGGUGAUGGAAUACUAUUGUACUAUAAGGAAUGAUGAACAGACUGAUUACAGAAAGAGCUGCAAAGACCUGCAUGAACUGAUUCAGAGUGAAAUAAGCAAAAUCGGGGCAACAUUAGCUGAAAUAUUGUGGAACAAUCAAAUGUGAUAAUCUUUUCUACUAAUAGCAAUAUAAUGAUCCAGGACAAUUCUGAGGGUCUUAUUAAAAAGAAUGCUAUCCACCACCAAAGAAAGAACUGUGGGAGAAGAAAUGCAGAUGAAAACAUAAAAUUUUUCACUUGCUUAUUUGUGUACAUGAUUUGGGGUUUGAAUUUUAUAUUAUUCAUUUAUGUAAUAUGGAAAUAUGAUUUGCAUGAUAAUAUGGGUACAACCCAGAAAAAAUUUUAAAAAAUAAGUAAAAUUAACUUUGAUUAAAAAAAAGAUUUCUGAAAACUGAAAUUGAGUGGUCUUCUGUAAAACCUAUACAGUACCUCUCAUUAUUAAUCCAUGGUUUGUUAUGUAAUCUAAAUCCUCAUGGUUUAAUUUAAUCUUAAUUCUCUUAUCUGAUUAUUAGCAGAGAUGGAUAAUAUCUGGAAUGUAUCCCUUGAAAAUUCCUCUUAUACCUGAAUAUAAUUAUUAAAUGUCGGCAGUUUUCUGAGGCCCUAGAAUUUCUGAUUUCCAAAGGUACAGUUGUCCCUCGCACUAUCAUGGUUCACAUAUUGUGGCUUCACUGUAUUGCAGGUUUUAAAAAAGAAUAUAUAUCUAAUUUUGUAUCAUAGAGUUUUUACUAUAUCAUGGAAUUUUGUGGAUGAAUACCAUACUGUACACAAUGGAAAUACAGCACACCACUACUGAUUGCUCCAGUUUGCAAACAUGAGAUUGUACAUGGAACACUAUUGGCUGAUGGAAUAAAAAGCUACCAACCACAGCUCUGUAUUCUGUA